UACGAGGGGGGCGAGCGUUGUUCGGAAUUAUUGGGCGUAGAGGGUGCGUAGGCGGUUUGGUAAGUCUGAUGUGAAAUCUAUGGGCUCAACUCAUAGUCUGCAUCGGAAACUGCCGGGCUUGAGUGUGGGAGAGGUGAGUGGAAUUCCUGGUGUAGCGGUGAAAUGCGUAGAUAUCAGGAGGAACACCUGUGGCGAAAGCGGCUCACUGGACCAUAACUGACGCUGAUGCACGAAAGCUAGGGGAGCAAACAGG
rnacentral:rRNA from 1 species